rnacentral:rRNA from 1 species
UCGAGCGGUAGCACAGAGAGCUUGCUCUCGGGUGACGAGCGGCGGACGGGUGAGUAAUGUCUGGGAAACUGCCUGAUGGAGGGGGAUAACUACUGGAAACGGUAGCUAAUACCGCAUAACGUCGCAAGACCAAAGUGGGGGACCUUCGGGCCUCAUGCCAUCAGAUGUGCCCAGAUGGGAUUAGCUAGUAGGUGGGGUAACGGCUCACCUAGGCGACGAUCCCUAGCUGGUCUGAGAGGAUGACCAGCCACACUGGAACUGAGACACGGUCCAGACUCCUACGGGAGGCAGCAGUGGGGAAUAUUGCACAAUGGGCGCAAGCCUGAUGCAGCCAUGCCGCGUGUGUGAAGAAGGCCUUCGGGUUGUAAAGCACUUUCAGCGGGGAGGAAGGCGGUGAGGUUAAUAACCUCGUCGAUUGACGUUACCCGCAGAAGAAGCACCGGCUAACUCCGUGCCAGCAGCCGCGGUAAUACGGAGGGUGCAAGCGUUAAUCGGAAUUACUGGGCGUAAAGCGCACGCAGGCGGUCUGUCAAGUCGGAUGUGAAAUCCCCGGGCUCAACCUGGGAACUGCAUUCGAAACUGGCAGGCUAGAGUCUUGUAGAGGGGGGUAGAAUUCCAGGUGUAGCGGUGAAAUGCGUAGAGAUCUGGAGGAAUACCGGUGGCGAAGGCGGCCCCCUGGACAAAGACUGACGCUCAGGUGCGAAAGCGUGGGGAGCAAACAGGAUUAGAUACCCUGGUAGUCCACGCCGUAAACGAUGUCGAUUUGGAGGUUGUGCCCUUGAGGCGUGGCUUCCGGAGCUAACGCGUUAAAUCGACCGCCUGGGGAGUACGGCCGCAAGGUUAAAACUCAAAUGAAUUGACGGGGGCCCGCACAAGCGGUGGAGCAUGUGGUUUAAUUC